rnacentral:rRNA from 1 species
UACGAAGGGGGCUAGCGUUGCUCGGAAUCACUGGGCGUAAAGCGCACGUAGGCGGAUCUUUAAGUCAGGGGUGAAAUCCUGGAGCUCAACUCCAGAACUGCCUUUGAUACUGGAGAUCUCGAGUCCGGAAGAGGUGAGUGGAACUCCAAGUGUAGAGGUGAAAUUCGUAGAUAUUCGGAAGAACACCAGUGGCGAAGGCGGCUCACUGGUCCGGUACUGACGCUGAGGUGCGAAAGCGUGGGGAGCAAACAGG